rnacentral:RNase_P_RNA from 1 species
GCAAGUAUGAAAGACGGUUGCGAGUCUAUAAGACUCGAGGAAAGUCCGAGCUCCAUAGGGCAGGAUGCCAGAUAACGUCUGGCGAGGGUAACCUUAGGGAAAGUGCCAUAGAAAAGGAAACCGCCACGUAAGUGGUAAGGGUGGUAAGGGUGGAAAGGUGAGGUAAGAGCUCACCAGCAGUCUGGUAACAGGCUGGCUCGGUAAACCCCAUCCGGAGCAAGACCGAAUAGGGAAGGGUUAAGGGUGGUCCCGCCUACCUUCCGGGUUGUGUCGCUCGAGCGUGCAGGCGACUGUACGCCUAGAAAGAUAAUCGUCACCGCGCAAGUGGAACAGAACUCGGCUUAUUGAUUGCUUGCUUCU